rnacentral:rRNA from 1 species
UACGAAGGGGGCUAGCGUUGUUCGGAUUUACUGGGCGUAAAGCGCACGUAGGCGGAUCGAUCAGUCAGGAGUGAAAUCCCAGAGCUCAACUCUGGAACUGCCUUUGAUACUGUCGAUCUGGAGUAUGGAAGAGGUGAGUGGAAUUCCGAGUGUAGAGGUGAAAUUCGUAGAUAUUCGCAAGAACACCAGUGGCGAAGGCGGCUCACUGGCCCGAUACUGACGCUGAGGCACGAAAGCGUGGGGAGCAAACAGG